UACGUAGGGUGCGAGCGUUAAUCGGAAUUACUGGGCGUAAAGCGUGCGUAGGCGGUUCGUUAAGUUCGUUGUGAAAGCCCGGGGCUCAACCCCGGGUCGGCCGCGGGUACUGCCGGGCUGGAGUGCCGUAGGGGCAGGCGGAAUUCCGGGUGUAGCGGUGGAAUGCGUAGAGAUCCGGAAGAACACCGGUGGCGAAGGCGGCCUGCUGGGCGGCGACUGACGCUGAGGCGCGACAGCGUGGGGAGCAAACAGG
rnacentral:rRNA from 1 species